CUAUAACUUUCCCCCGCCGAGGUCAAAUGCAGACUCACACUCCUCCUCACCUCCAGAAUCCUCCCCAGGGAAAGGCAACAGACUGACACAUAUCGGAGAGAAGGGACCCCUCUGUCACUCCGGUGCUUUUUGAUAGCACUUCUGGUACGUUGACUCUCAGCCCCACAGUUCAUCAUGUGUGGACAGGAACCAUGUCUAGAAGGUCUACAGUGAGGGCUCAACCGCUGUUUCCUAAUAGUCCAAGUUAUUUCACGGCACAUGAGUGAUGUCUGCUGCCACGUGGAGGACUGAGGCUGAGAAUUACAGUGCUUUGGCUACACGAAGAUGUGCAAUGUUGGAGAACGAACGUGAGAAUCAAGAGACUCACUCUGGAAGCCCGCCUCUGCCAGGUACCAACCGUACCAUUCAAGUCACAAAGGGGCCUCGAUGCUUUUGGUGUUGCUGUCAGAGAUAA
rnacentral:lncRNA from 1 species